rnacentral:rRNA from 1 species
UACAGAGGUCUCAAGCGUUGUUCGGAUUCAUUGGGCGUAAAGGGUGUGUAGGUGGCGCGCUAAGUCGGGUGUGAAAUUUCGGAGCUUAACUCCGAAACUGCAUUCGAUACUGGCGUGCUUGAGGACUGGAGAGGAGACUGGAAUUCAUGGUGUAGCAGUGAAAUGCGCAGAUAUCAGGAGGAACACCGGUGGCGAAGGCGGGUCUCUGGGCAGUAACUGACGCUGAGGAGCGAAAGCGUGGGGAGCGAACAGG